rfam:Stegodyphus mimosarum contig32726, whole genome shotgun sequence.
GCCUUCGUGGUGUAGCGGUGAACACGCUCGACGCGUGUUCGAGAGGUCCGUGGUUCGAAUCCCGUCGAAACCA